rnacentral:rRNA from 1 species
GUACACGCUGUGACUAGCAUAUCAAUAAGCGGAGGAAAAGAAACUAACAAGGAUUCCCCUAGUAACGGCGAGUGAAGCGGGAAGAGCUCAAAUUUGAAAUCUUAAAGGGUUUCCCUUUACGAAUUGUAGUUUAAAGAAGUGUUUUCUGUUGAGGUUUUGGUAAAAGUUCUUUGGAAUAGGACAUCAUAGAGGGUGAGAAUCCCGUAUUUGACCUUUACUUUCAACUUUGUGAUACACUUUCAAAGAGUCGGAUUGUUUGGGAAUGCAGUCCAAAAUGGGUGGUAAAUUUCAUCUAAAGCUAAAUAUUGGCGAGAGACCGAUAGCGAACAAGUACCGUGAGGGAAAGAUGAAAAGAACUUUGAAAAGAGAGUUAAACAGUACGUGAAAUUGUCAAAAGGGAAGCGUUUGACACCAGUGUUGUUUUUCUGAAAAUCAAUUAAAGAACUGUUUAUGCUAAGUUGUUUAGACUUUAUCAGCUAACUGUUUAGUUUUGAGCUUUUCUUUAAUGCACUUUUCAGUUAACAAGUCAACAUCAACUUCUUUUGCUGUAAAAAAGCUUGAGGAAGGUGGCUUGAGAUUCGUCUUAAGUGUUUAUAGCCUCUUGCCUAUGCAGUCGGAGAGAUUGAGGUCUGCAGCGUAGAUCCUUCGGGGCUAAAUGCAUUUGUGCUAAGUUAUAGCAUUUUAUAGACAACUUGUUGACUAUGAUUUGUCUUGUAGCUUACUCGCUUAUGUUAUUUUACCUACGCUUAGGAUGUUGAGUCGUAGAGCACGCAG